GAUGAACGCUGGCGGCGUGCCUAAUACAUGCAAGUCGCGCGAACAGAUAAGGAGCUUGCUCCUUUGACGUUAGCGGCGGACGGGUGAGUAACACGUGGGUAACCUACCUAUAAUACUGGGAUAACUUCGGGAAACCGGAGCUAAUACCGGAUAAUAUUUCGAACCGCAUGGUUCGAUAGUGAAAGAUGGUUUUGCUAUCACUUAUCGAUGGACCCGCGCCGUAUUAGCUAGUUGGUAAGGUAACGGCUUACCAAGGCGACGAUACGUAGCCGACCUGAGAGGGUGAUCGGCCACACUGGAACUGAGACACGGUCCAGACUCCUACGGGAGGCAGCAGUAGGGAAUCUUCCGCAAUGGGCGAAAGCCUGACGGAGCAACGCCGCGUGAGUGAUGAAGGUCUUCGGAUCGUAAAACUCUGUUAUUAGGGAAGAACAUACGUGUAAGUAACUGUGCACGUCUUGACGGUACCUAAUCAGAAAGCCACGGCUAACUACGUG
rnacentral:rRNA from 1 species